AGGAGUAGAUCUUAACUCCAAUUCCAACUGUGAACUGUGUCCAUACUGACUGCCUCUCCUGGCAUCCCCUGCUGGCCUUUUGUUUUUGGUUGUGUUGAGAACAGAAACUGGUACUUUGCCCUUCACAUGGGUGAAGGUCGACCUGACUAAAAAGAAUUCGGGAAUUCUUACUAUCCAAGCUUGCAAGUAGGUUUCCCCCAAUAACCAUUAUAUCAAGUGAUGUAACAAUUGAAUAUAUUACCAAAUUGAAAACUAGGGAUUCUGUAAAGAACAAGGAUGUUAACUGUGGCACUGCUUGCGAUUUUUCAAAAAUCAGGAAACAGUUUUACAAUUUUAUUAGCCUAUACUCAUUAAGUUGUGGUACAUUCAUAUAGCAACAUACCAUGCAGCCAUUCGGAAAG
rnacentral:lncRNA from 1 species